rnacentral:tmRNA from 1 species
GGGGAUGAAAGGUCUCGACAGGGAAGGCUGGCCAAGGAUUGCAAGCCGAGGUGCCCUACCCUCGUCAAACAAGGGCAAAUAAAGAUAACAGGCGAACCUCAACUCGCCCUGGCUGCCUAAGAACAGCCACGUCUGACCAGGUCUCCUCCCGAUAGGCCUGGAUCAGAUGCCAUAGAAAUCGGGGUGCGGUGUCCUGGAUGCCGAUAAAGGGCAUCAAAGCCCAGGUCACAAAACCUGGAUCGGCUAGUUCAAACCAGACCCUGUUGGUCGGGGCUGGUUUGAACGAAAAGCAAAAGGCCGACUAAGCUUGUAGCAUAUCCUGGACCGAACUCUCUGGACGCGGGUUCGAUUCCCGCCAUCUCCACCA